UGAAUACGAGACGCUAAGGCGUUGAAGUAGUGUAUGUCAUACUUCCAAGAAAAGCUUGCACUGUCAUAGAUAAAAAACGCCUGUACCAUAACCGACACAGGUGGGUAGGUAGAGUAUACUAAGGGGCGCGAGAUAACUCUCUCUAAGGAACUCGGCAAAAUAACUCCGUAACUUCGGGAGAAGGAGUGCCUUAUUUAUAAGGCUGCAAUAACAAGAUCCAAGCAACUGUUUAUCAAAAACACAGGUCUCCGCUAAGUCGUAAGACGAUGUAUGGGGGCUGACGCCUGCCCAGUGCCAGAAGGUUAAAGAAGUUGGUUAGCAAUAGCGAAGCUGAUAACUGAAGCCCUGGUGAACGGCGGCCGUAACGAUAACGGUCCUAAGGUAGCGAAAUUCCUUGUCGGGUAAGUUCCGACCCGCACGAAAGGCGUAAUGAUUUGGAUACUGUCUCGGAGAGGGGCUCGGUGAAAUAGACUUGUCUGUGAAGAUGCGGACUACCUGCACCAGGACAGAAAGACCCUAUGAAGCUUUACUGUAACUUGAAAUUGAAAUUGGACUUUAUUCGCGCAGUAUAGGUGGGAGGCGUUGAUUGUAAUCUUGCGGGAUUAUUGGAGCCAUCAGUGAGAUACCACCCUUGUAAUGUUAGAUUUCUAACUUUGAAUCAUUAUCUGGUCAAAGAACAGUUUCAGGCGGGCAGUUUGACUGGGGCGGUCGCCUCCUAAACGGUAACGGAGGCGUACAAAGGUUUCCUCUGAACGGUUAGAAAUCGUAUCUAGAGUGUAAAGGCAUAAGGAAGCUUGACUGUGAGACCUACAAGUCGAGCAGGGACGAAAGUCGGUCUUAGUGAUCUGACGGUACUGAGUGGAAAGGCCGUCACUCAACGGAUAAAAGUUACUCUAGGAUAACAGGCUGAUCUCCCCCAAGAGUUCACAUCGACGGGGAGGUUUGGCACCUCGAUGUCGGCUCAUCGCAUCCUGGGGCGGUAGUACGUCCCAAGGGUUGGGCUGUUCGCCCAUGAAAGCGGUACGCGAGCUGGGUUCAGAACGUCGUGAGACAGUUCGGUCCAUAUCCGGUGUAGGCGUUAGAAUAUUGAGAGGAGCCUUCUUUAGUACGAGAGGACCGAGAAGGACAUACCUCUGGUGUACCAGUUAUCGUGCCAACGGUAAACGCUGGGUAGCUAUGUAUGGAGUGGAUAACCGCUGAAAGCAUCUAAGUGGGAAGCCCACCUCAAGAUAAGUAUUCUCAU
rnacentral:rRNA from 1 species